rnacentral:rRNA from 1 species
AGCGGCGGACGGGUUAGUAACGCGUGGGAACAUACCCUUCUCUAAGGAAUAGCCACUGGAAACGGUGAGUAAUACCUUAUACGCCCUUCGGGGGAAAGAUUUAUCGGAGAUGGAUUGGCCCGCGUUAGAUUAGAUAGUUGGUGGGGUAAUGGCCUACCAAGUCUACGAUCUAUAGCUGGUUUUAGAGGAUGAUCAGCAACACUGGGACUGAGACACGGCCCAGACUCCUACGGGAGGCAGCAGUGGGGAAUCUUAGACAAUGGGCGAAAGCCUGAUCUAGCCAUGCCGCGUGAGUGAUGAAGGCCUUAGGGUCGUAAAGCUCUUUCGCCAGGGAUGAUAAUGACAGUACCUGGUAAAGAAACCCCGGCUAACUCCGUGCCAGCAGCCGCGGUAAUACGGAGGGGGUUAGCGUUGUUCGGAAUUACUGGGCGUAAAGCGCACGUAGGCGGACUAUUAAGUCAGAGGUGAAAUCCCGGGGCUCAACCCCGGAACUGCCUUUGAUACUGGUAGUCUUGAGUUCGAGAGAGGUGAGUGGAAUUCCGAGUGUAGAGGUGAAAUUCGUAGAUAUUCGGAGGAACACCAGUGGCGAAGGCGGCUCACUGGCUCGAUACUGA